rnacentral:rRNA from 1 species
AGGAUGAGCCUGCGGCCCAUCAGGUAGUUGGUGAGGUAACGGCUCACCAAGCCGAAGACGGGUAACCGGUCUGAGAGGAUGUCCGGUCACACUGGGACUGAGACACGGCCCAGACUCCUACGGGAGGCAGCAGCAGGGAAUCUUGGGCAAUGGGCGAAAGCCUGACCCAGCGACGCCGCGUGGAGGAAGAAGUCCUUCGGGGCGUAAACUCCUGGACUGGGGGACGAGGAAGGACGGUACCCCAGUAGAAAGGGACGGCUAACUACGUGCCAGCAGCCGCGGUAAAACGUAGGUCCCGAGCGUUGUUCGGAUUCACUGGGUGUAAAGGGCGCGUAGGUGGUUGUCUGUGUCUCAUGUGAAAACUCAGGGCUCAACUCUGAGAUUGCGUGGGAAACUAGGCAGCUAGAGGACGGUAGAGGGGAGUGGAAUUCCCGGUGUAGCGGUAAAAUGCGUAGAUAUCGGGAGGAACACCGGUGGCGAAGGCGGCUCUCUGGGCCGAUCCUGACGCUGAGGCGCGAAAGCUAGGGGAGCGAACCGGAUUAGAUACCCGGGUAGUCCUAGCCGUAAACGAUGGGUGCUAGGUGUUGGGGGGUAAAGACCCUUCAGUGCCGAAGCCAACGCGAUAAGC